rnacentral:misc_RNA from 1 species
GAUGAAGAACGUAGUGAAAUGCGAUAAGUAAUGUGAAUUGCAGAAUUCAGUGAAUCAUUGAAUCUUUGAACGCACAUUGCGCCCCCUGGUAUUCCGGGGGGCAUGCCUGUCCGAGCGUCAUUGCUGCCCUCAAGCACGGCUUGUGUGUUGGGCCUCCGUCCUCCUCCCGGGGGACGGGCCCGAAAGGCAGCGGCGGCACCGCGUCCGGUCCUCGAGCGUAUGGGGCUUCGUCACCCGCUCUUGUAGGCCCGGUCGGCGCUUGCCGACACAUCAAUCUUUUUUCCAGGUUGACCUCGGAUCAGGUAGGGAUACCCGCUGAACUUAAGCAUAUCAAUAAGCGGAGGA